GCCCCCAUAGCUUAAUGGUAAAGCUGCGGACUCUUAAUCCGUUGAUCUAAGUUCGAUUCUUAGUGUGGGCA
rnacentral:tRNA from 1 species